CGGCUGCGGUGAGCAGGCAGCCGCCAGGGGAAGCGGCCGGCGGGCGGAGGCGGCUAGGGCGGCCCGGGUCCCUCACCCCACACGGCGCGCGCUGUCGGGGUCGCCCUUUCACGGCCAGCGCCCGGGAGGCAGGCGAUGCAGCCUGCGUGAGCUGAAAUACAUGACAGAACCGUUUUCCUGUUACAUGUAAAUCAAUGUCAUCUCACCUAGGAUGCUUCCAGGGCCUGGUCUGCAACAGGGAUGGAACCCAGAGAUGCACUGCUAAGCUGGACAUUUGGAUACCGUGGAGAAAUCUUUAGAUUCGAAAUGAUGGUGGAACCUAUGUCCUGGUGCCCUUUUAUUUAUAACAGUCUCUACUGUAUAUGUAACAUUCUUUCCCCUUUGAAAAAGCAAUUAUUUUGCAAUAACCCCUUUUUCUUGACCUUUUAUCUGACAUUAUGAAUUUUCCCAAAGAAAUGAAAAGAAGCAAAAUAAAACUCAGACCACUG